UGCAAGUCGAGCGGACAGAUGGGAGCUUGCUCCCGUGAUGUUAGCGGCGGACGGGUGAGUAACACGUGGGUAACCUGCCUGUAAGACUGGGAUAACUCCGGGAAACCGGGGCUAAUACCGGAUGGUUGUUUGAACCGCAUGGUUCAAACAUAAAAGGUGGCUUCGGCUACCACUUACAGAUGGACCCGCGGCGCAUUAGCUAGUUGGUGAGGUAACGGCUCACCAAGGCAACGAUGCGUAGCCGACCUGAGAGGGUGAUCGGCCACACUGGGACUGAGACACGGCCCAGACUCCUACGGGAGGCAGCAGUAGGGAAUCUUCCGCAAUGGACGAAAGUCUGACGGAGCAACGCCGCGUGAGUGAUGAAGGUUUUCGGAUCGUAAAGCUCUGUUGUUAGGGAAGAACAAGUACCGUUCGAAUAGGGCGGUACCUUGACGGUACCUAACCAGAAAGCCACGGCUAACUACGUGCCAGCAGCCGCGGUAAUACGUAGGUGGCAAGCGUUGUCCGGAAUUAUUGGGCGUAAAGGGCUCGCAGGCGGUUUCUUAAGUCUGAUGUGAAAGCCCCCGGCUCAACCGGGGAGGGUCAUUGGAAACUGGGGAACUUGAGUGCAGAAGAGGAGAGUGGAAUUCCACGUGUAGCGGUGAAAUGCGUAGAGAUGUGGAGGAACACCAGUGGCGAAGGCGACUCUCUGGUCUGUAAUCUGACGCUGAGGAGCGAAAGCG
rnacentral:rRNA from 1 species